GAUUGAGGGUCGCCGUAGCUCCGUCUUCGUCUUCCGUUCGACCCAGCCAACCAAGCGCGCGUUUUCAGCGUCCGUUCCUCCCACCCUCUUCGUUCGACCUAUAGCGUUCCCAUUGAGGGUCGUCGCACCUCAUUCCGUUCGACCCAGCCAACCAAGCGCCCGUUUUCAGCGUCCGUUCCUCCCACCCGCUUCGUUCGACCUAUACCGUUCCCAUUGACGGUCGCCGCACCUCCUUCCGUUCGACCCAGCCAACCAAGCGCCCGUUUUCAACGUUCGUUCCUCCUACCCUCUUCGUUCCCUGUGUCGGACCCACUGGCAAUCGUGUUCAUUAAAGGUUGGUUUAUUUGUAUUGAGUGGAAUGAAUUUGUAAUAGAUGUAUGAUGUUGUUUAUGUACGAUGUUGCUUAUGUAUGAUAUGGUGUUUGUAAGGUGUACAAAUAUGACAUGUUGGAUGGCGGUGGAAUGUGAUUUAUGUAUGAUGUUGGUGGUUUGUUAAUACCCUUUGUUGAAUAAAUAAAUUGUGUGGUGAUUGAUACUAUGGACAUGAGAACAUAAACAUUAUUGGUACGACGAUACUGAAAAUGUUUGUCCCAAGUGCCAAAAUUUAUGGAAUAGAGGACCCUUGCGGUGGCUGCCGGAGCAUCGCCGGAGUGUCGCCGGACCCUUUCAAGAAACUGCAGUGGUAGCAAAGACAAAAUAAGUGAGGACUGCAGGCAAAUGUUUUGCACAACCAGGUCAACUACGUUGCAGGUACAACACUUGCACACUCCAAGCCAACCAAACUUUUUCAUUGGAAACCCUGGUCUAUGUGGCUAUUGGCUGGAU